rnacentral:rRNA from 1 species
AUUGAACGCUGGCGGCAUGCCUUACACAUGCAAGUCGAACGGCAGCACGGGUGCUUGCACCUGGUGGCGAGUGGCGAACGGGUGAGUAAUACAUCGGAACAUGUCCUGUAGUGGGGGAUAGCCCGGCGAAAGCCGGAUUAAUACCGCAUACGAACUACGGAUGAAAGCGGGGGACCUUCGGGCCUCGCGCUUUCGGGUUGGCCGAUGGCUGAUUAGCUAGUUGGUGGGGUAAAGGCCUACCAAGGCGACGAUCAGUAGCUGGUCUGAGAGGACGACCAGCCACACUGGGACUGAGACACGGCCCAGACUCCUACGGGAGGCAGCAGUGGGGAAUUUUGGACAAUGGGCGAAAGCCUGAUCCAGCAAUGCCGCGUGUGUGAAGAAGGCCUUCGGGUUGUAAAGCACUUUUGUCCGGAAAGAAAACCUUUGCCCUAAUACGGUCGGGGGAUGACGGUACCGGAAGAAUAAGCACCGGCUAACUACGUG